AUACUGCAGUCGAGCGGACAGAUGGGAGCUUGCUCCCUGAUGUUAGCGGCGGACGGGUGAGUAACACGUGGGUAACCUGCCUGUAAGACUGGGAUAACUCCGGGAAACCGGGGCUAAUACCGGAUGGUUGUUUGAACCGCAUGGUUCAAACAUAAAAGGUGGCUUCGGCUACCACUUACAGAUGGACCCGCGGCGCAUUAGCUAGUUGGUGAGGUAACGGCUCACCAAGGCAACGAUGCGUAGCCGACCUGAGAGGGUGAUCGGCCACACUGGGACUGAGACACGGCCCAGACUCCUACGGGAGGCAGCAGUAGGGAAUCUUCCGCAAUGGACGAAAGUCUGACGGAGCAACGCCGCGUGAGUGAUGAAGGUUUUCGGAUCGUAAAGCUCUGUUGUUAGGGAAGAACAAGUACCGUUCGAAUAGGGCGGUACCUUGACGGUACCUAACCAGAAAGCCACGGCUAACUACGUGCCAGCAGCCGCGGUAAUACGUAGGUGGCAAGCGUUGUCCGGAAUUAUUGGGCGUAAAGGGCUCGCAGGCGGUUUCUUAAGUCUGAUGUGAAAGCCCCCGGCUCAACCGGGGAGGGUCAUUGGAAACUGGGGAACUUGAGUGCAGAAGAGGAGAGUGGAAUUCCACGUGUAGCGGUGAAAUGCGUAGAGAUGUGGAGGAACACCAGUGGCGAAGGCGACUCUCUGGUCUGUAACUGACGCUGAGGAGCGAAAGCGUGGGGAGCGAACAGGAUUAGAUACCCUGGUAGUCCACGCCGUAAACGAUGAGUGCUAAGUGUUAGGGGGUUUCCGCCCCUUAGUGCUGCAGCUAACGCAUUAAGCACUCCGCCUGGGGAGUACGGUCGCAAGACUGAAACUCAAAGGAAUUGACGGGGGCCCGCACAAGCGGUGGAGCAUGUGGUUUAAUUCGAAGCAACGCGAAGAACCUUACCAGGUCUUGACAUCCUCUGACAAUCCUAGAGAUAGGACGUCCCCUUCGGGGGCAGAGUGACAGGUGGUGCAUGGUUGUCGUCAGCUCGUGUCGUGAGAUGUUGGGUUAAGUCCCGCAACGAGCGCAACCCUUGAUCUUAGUUGCCAGCAUUCAGUUGGGCACUCUAAGGUGACUGCCGGUGACAAACCGGAGGAAGGUGGGGAUGACGUCAAAUCAUCAUGCCCCUUAUGACCUGGGCUACACACGUGCUACAAUGGACAGAACAAAGGGCAGCGAAACCGCGAGGUUAAGCCAAUCCCACAAAUCUGUUCUCAGUUCGGAUCGCAGUCUGCAACUCGACUGCGUGAAAUCUGGGAUCGCUAGUAAUCGCGGAUUCGCCAUGCCCCGGUUGAGUACGUUUCCCGGGACCUUGUAC
rnacentral:rRNA from 1 species